AGGACGAACGCUGGCGGCGUGCCUAACACAUGCAAGUCGAACGGGGUCCAACUGGUGGCAACACCAGGGAAGACCUAGUGGCGAACGGGUGCGGAACACGUGAGCAACCUGCCCCGAAGACCGGGACAACAGCGGGAAACUGCUGCUAAUACCGGAUAUCCCCACUGGUCUCGCAUGGGACUGUGAGGAAAGGAUUCCGCUUCGGGAGGGGCUCGCGGCCUAUCAGCUUGUUGGUGAGGUAACGGCUCACCAAGGCGACGACGGGUAGCUGGUCUGAGAGGACGAUCAGCCACACUGGGACUGAGACACGGCCCAGACUCCUACGGGAGGCAGCAGUGGGGAAUCUUGCGCAAUGGGCGAAAGCCUGACGCAGCAACGCCGCGUGGGGAUGAAUGCCUUCGGUUGUAAACCCCUUUCAGUGGGAACGAAUUGACGGUACCCACAGAAGAAGCCCCGGCCAACUACGUGCCAGCAGCCGC
rnacentral:rRNA from 1 species